rnacentral:rRNA from 1 species
AGAGUUUGAUCAUGGCUCAGAUUGAACGCUGGCGGCAUGCCUAACACAUGCAAGUCGAACGGCAGCACAGCAGUAGCAAUACUGUGGGUGGCGAGUGGCGGACGGGUGAGUAAUGCAUCGGGACCUACCCAGACGUGGGGGAUAACCUCGGGAAACCGGGACUAAUACCGCAUACGUCCUACGGGAGAAAGCGGGGGACCUUCGGGCCUCGCGCGGUUGGACGGACCGAUGUGCGAUUAGCUAGUUGGUAGGGUAAUGGCCUACCAAGGCGACGAUCGCUAGCUGGUCUGAGAGGAUGAUCAGCCACACUGGGACUGAGACACGGCCCAGACUCCUACGGGAGGCAGCAGUGGGGAAUAUUGGACAAUGGGCGCAAGCCUGAUCCAGCAAUGCCGCGUGUGUGAAGAAGGCCUUCGGGUUGUAAAGCACUUUUAUCAGGAACGAAAUACCACGGGUUAAUAACCUAUGGGGCUGACGGUACCUGAGGAAUAAGCACCGGCUAACUUCGUGCCAGCAGCCGCGGUAAUACGAAGGGUGCAAGCGUUAAUCGGAAUUACUGGGCGUAAAGGGUGCGUAGGCGGUUGUUUAAGUCUGUCGUGAAAUCCCCGGGCUCAACCUGGGAAUGGCGAUGGAUACUGGGCAGCUAGAGUGUGUCA